CACACAUUGAACGCGGAUCAUUCGUUCUGUCAUCGAACUUGACUCAUUCCAUCUUCUGGAUUGCUUAGGAAAGCUGAUUGGUGUUACCUGUCAUUUAGGUAAUGACCGAUAAGAUGCGGCCUACAUGAACAUCUUUUAGGCGGCCAGCAUCAUUCGACUAACCACAAUCGGCUUCUACUACCCUGCUGUCAACAUAGCACGGAGUUUUACCCUUUAGAUAUUUGGCUGUUCGCGAUGUGUGAUGGCGUUUCCUUGGACGAGAUGGUGAUUUUGGCGAGAAAAAUAUUGCGUUCUAACCUUCAGGUUUCUAAAUUUGCAUGACAGACUUUAUGAAAAGUAAUGUUCUUUCAAGAAAGUCAACAAGGUGUCAAGGUCCCUAGUUUGCUAACCCAAUGGCUGCUACUACCCUUGAAUCUCCCUAUUAAGCUCCUUACACAGUCCCUCUUGAUUUGAGGGUAAUCCUUCGCUACUGAUCAUGGAC